rnacentral:rRNA from 1 species
GACGUAGGGUGCAAGCGUUGUCCGGAUUUACUGGGCGUAAAGGGCGCGUAGGCGGUCUGUUAAGUGUAGAGUGAAAUCUCCAGGGCUCAACCCGGAAACUGCUCUGCAUACUGGCAGACUUGAGGGACGAAGAGGUAUGUGGAAUUCCUGGUGUAGCGGUGAAAUGCGUUGAUAUCAGGAGGAACACCCAUGGCGAAGGCAGCAUACUGGUCGUUUCCUGACGCUGAGGCGCGAAAGCGUGGGUAGCAAACAGG